rnacentral:rRNA from 1 species
GAUGAACGCUGGCGGCGUGCCUAAUACAUGCAAGUCGAGCGGACAGACGAGGAGCUUGCUCCUCUGACGUUAGCGGCGGACGGGUGAGUAACACGUGGAUAACCUACCUAUAAGACUGGGAUAACUUCGGGAAACCGGAGCUAAUACCGGAUAAUAUAUUGAACCGCAUGGUUCAAUAGUGAAGGACGGUUUUCCUGUCACUUAGAGAUGAAUCCGUGCCGGAUUAGCUAGUUGGUAAGGUAACGGCUUACCAAGGCGACGAUGCGUAGCCGACCUGAGAGGAUGAUCAGCCACACUGGAACUGAGACACGGUCCAGACUCCUACGGGAGGCAGCAGUGGGGAAUAUUCCGCAAUGGGCGCAAGCCUGACGCAGCCAUGCCGCGUGGGUGAUGAAGGCCUUCGGAUCGUAAAGCUCUGUUAUUAGGGAAGAAAAGCAGUGUAUGAAACUACCGACGUUUUGACGGUACCUAAACAGAAAGCCACGGCUAACUACGUG